rnacentral:tRNA from 1 species
GUGGACGUAGCUCAGUUGGUUAGAGCUUCGGAUUGUGAUUCCGGAGGUCGUGGGUUCGAGUCCCAUCGUCCACCCCA